CUUGUCUUUUGUAUUGAUACGGAUAUCAAAGUGUUGGCUCUGACUUUUAUUAUUAAUACGAAGCAUGAGACAUUAAUUAUUUUUAAGUUUAUUAUAGAACAUAAGACUAAGGGGGAAAAAAGGCCUUAUGUUUAGAGUUUGUUUUAGGACCUAGAAGUGUUUGAUGCCUUUUUUGGAAAUAUCAGCCAUCGUCUCCCUCUAGAUCAAUUUGUUGCCGAAGAACACAAGUUUGAGAUAUAUCUAGGGCUAAUCAGAGAGAAACUGUCUCCAAGCAACUCAUUAAGGAGACUGUAGAGGUACCCUCCUAAGUGGACUAAAGCCUGAUACGAUAAGUCCAAUCUUGGCAAUCCCAAGUUGGUGAUGGCUGAUUAGGGUUAAGUUCACAAGGCUUUUAUAAAUAGAAGCCUCCUCCUCAGCAUAAAACAGGUUGUCUUCUUCCUCAAACUCCCUUUGUACAUACUAUCAUGCUUAUAUUCGCAUUCACACAUAUAUCAAGAUUGAAUACAGUAUUGACUUGAGCCUCAGAGGGUAGUCCAAAGACUUCGGUCUCUAAGCCCUUCUAACGUGUUUUCCAAUUGUGUAGAUCUGAGACGAGAUAGAGAAGACAAGACGAGGUGUGGUUGUCUUCAUCUUUGGGUUUUGUUUCUUCAUUGACGCCAUCCGUGGGACACGACAACUAACACAUCUCACUCUUCUCUACAAUUUGGUGUUUUUCAAUGAUCCACCUGAUUAUCCUUUUUAUAUAACCCGAGCCGAACCGGGCCGAAAAAUAUUAUAUAACGAUAGACAAACACCCCUAAAAUUUUUCGCCCCGCAUGAAAAAUUUUUUUGGGUCCACCACUAUCUAAGCACCUCACGCAAUUUAAAACUAGGGGCAAUUCCGAUCCAAAUUAAUAGAUUUGGUCGUUUUAGGUGUUUUUUAAAUUGCAAUGGGUCAGUUUGGGCUUCUUUUUAGUGACUAACGUGUCCAGUUGGGCCAUCCACCAAAACACAGAUAUUUCGGGUCAACUUGGGUUUGGAUGUUUAAAGGAACGGGUUAUGAAAAAAAGAGGCGGGUUGAGAGUUCGUAGCAUCUAGGGUUUUCUACAAAUUGAUAACAAAUCAAUGUCCAAGCUGUUAGAACUCAACAAAUCACCUACAAAUCAUCUUCAAUCGUGGGUUUCAACUUCAUCUACCAUAGGGAAAAAGUAACGUGAAACUGUGAAUCAUCUUCAAUCGUGAAUUUUCAACUUCAAUCAUCUUUAAUCGUGUUUUUUUAUGUUAAUUUUUACACUUUACUUUAUAUGAAUGUUUUAUAUUUAGUUUACUAGUUUUAGUUAUGGGUGUCCAUGAAAUCGAGUUGUGGGUUAUUUGGGUUUGGCAUUUAUGAAACUAGUUUCGAAUCGAACCAAUUUGAAACCAAAUAGUUUGAUAAAAUUAACUAAUAAAUAAUAUAAAUUAACAAAAAAUCUAUAUAUAUUAUAAGAUAAAAGUUACAUAAUUUAUGUUCAAAUAAUUGGUUUGGCUCAUUUAAGUUCAAUUUAAAAACUAGGGACCAAAUUUGAUCAUACUUAACCGAAAAUUGUUAUUGGAAUUGAGUUCGAUUUGAAUUUUGGGUUUGUAAGUUUAUGGCUUAUAAGUAGUUCAGUAAAGCCAAAGAUUGUACAAGAUUUGAUGUUAAUGCAUAGUUUAUGUUUCUGUGUGCGAAAGACUUUGAGUUCAUUUAUAUAAUUGCGUUAAGAAGACCAUUUGUUUGAUGUGUUCUUUUUUUAUGGAAACUUGCAGUUUGUUGACCCAGUAGAUUGGACCGUUUAUAGGGAUUUAUCUCUUGUAAAUGAUCUAGGAUUAAAGUCGUAUAUGCUAUAACCUGGUACAAACCAGACUUCAUAAUCUUUACUCUUUUUUUAUCUUGAUUUGUACUCUUUUUUUUGUUACAAAAGUCCUCCUAAUUAUACUCUUGUAGUAUAGGUAGUACAUGAGUAUAACAUGAUUCUUGUAGUUAUUUUGAUGCAGGUAUUUGUAGUUGAAAGGUAUGUCAAACAACUCCUAAUCUGGACAACAUAAUAUAGAGGGGGAUUAUGAGGAAGAAGGAAGUUCAUAUAGUUCAGGUAAACAUCGUUCUUACGUUUGCAACUAUUUUGACCCAUUACCAGUUGCACCCAAUGGCGAUGAAAAAAGGAAAAUGUAGUGCUUGUCUUUUGCAAUUAUUCCAGAUCCUCAGGUUAAGCUUGUUGAUUAUCGUUUUUCAAAUCUUAACAUGAGAUCUAAAGGGCAUUAAAUGAAAUUGAAGUGUAUUGUGGAUGGUAUGCAUGAGCUAUAUGAUAAGGAGUAUAAUAUUCAAUCGGAGAUAAUGCAUGAUUCUUCAAUACCCGAGAGUUCAAAUGUUGGUGACAAUACGCUUGACGAGUUGGAUGGAUUCGAUACAUUUCAAAGCCAAUACAAAGUAGUUGAUAAUGAAAAGUCAAAGUUAAUAUUGUAUUUGGAGGAACCUGACCUUGAUAGAAAAGUAGAACUUGAAAAGUCACAGUUGACUGUGAUGGUUUGCAAUAUAUUGAGAAUACCGAUUACUAUUGUUGUUUCCGAAUCAUCUUUUAGUAUCGGGGGUCGGAUGCUAAGUAAGUAUCGAACUUCAUCGUUAUCAUCAAAUGUUGAGGCAUUGCUAUGUACACGUGAUUGGUUAUUUGAUUUAGAAGAUAUUAAAGUUUAUUCAGUUUUGCAA